rnacentral:rRNA from 1 species
GCUUACGGCCAUACCACCCUGAAUGCGCCAGAUCUCGUCUGAUCUCGGAAGCUAAGCAGGGUCAGGCCUGGUUAGUACUUGAAUGGGAGACCGCCUGGGAAUACCAGGUGCUGUAAGCU